CCAGACUCCUACGGGAGGCAGCAGUGAGGAAUAUUGGUCAAUGGCCGUAAGGCUGAACCAGCCAAGUAGCGUGAGGGAAGACUGCCCUAUGGGUUGUAAACCUCUUUUAUGCGGGGAUAAAGGUGUCCACGUGUGGAUGUUUGCAGGUACCGCAUGAAUAAGGACCGGCUAAUUCCGUGCCAGCAGCCGCGGUAAUACGGAAGGUCCGGGCGUUAUCCGGAUUUAUUGGGUUUAAAGGGUGCGUAGGCGGGACGUUAAGUCAGCGGUAAAAAUCCGGCGCUCAACCCCGUCGAGCCGUUGAAACUGCCGUUCUUGAGUGAGCGAGAAGUAUGCGGAAUGCGUGGUGUAGCGGUGAAAUGCAUAGAUAUCACGCAGAACUCCGAUUGCGAAGGCAGCAUGCCGGCUCCACACUGACGCUGAGGCACGAAAGCGUGGGUAUCGAACAGGAUUAGAUACCCGAGUAAA
rnacentral:rRNA from 1 species